CAUAGCGACUAUCGUGGCAUAUCAAUAAGCGGAGGAAAAGAAACUAACAAGGAUUCCCCUAGUAACGGCGAGUGAAGCGGGAAGAGCUCAAAUUUGAAAUCUUAAAGGUUUUCCCUUGACGAAUUGUAGUUUAAAGAAGUGUUUUCUGUUGAAGUUUUGGUAAAAGUUCUUUGGAAUAGGACAUCAUAGAGGGUGAGAAUCCCGUAUUUGACCAUUAUUUUCCAGCUGUGUGAUACACUUUCAAAGAGUCGGAUUGUUUGGGAAUGCAGUCCAAAGAUGGGUGGUAAAUUUCAUCUAAAGCUAAAUAUUGGCGAGAGACCGAUAGCGAACAAGUACCGUGAGGGAAAGAUGAAAAGAACUUUGAAAAGAGAGUUAAACAGUACGUGAAAUUGUCAAAAGGGAAGCGUUUGACACCAGUGUUGUUUAGUUGAAAAUCAAUUCAAUAGUUUUUGAUUCUAAGUAGUAUUGACUUCAUCAGCUUGCUGCUUUCUUUCAGGAAUUAUUGUAUGCACUUUUCAGUUAACAAGUCAACAUCAAUUUCUUUUGUUGUAAAAGGGUAUGAGGAAGGUGGCUUGCGCUUCGGCUCAAGUGUUUAUAGCCUUUUAUCUCUGCAAUCGGAGAGAUUGAGGUCUGCAGCGUAGAUCCUUCGGGGUUAGAUACAUUGGUGCUAAGCUAUAGCCUUGUAUAGACAACUUGUUGACUAUGCUCAGUCAUGUAGCUUACUCGCUGAUGCUAUUUUACCUACGCUUAGGAUGUUGACGCGCGUGUGUGCGUG
rnacentral:rRNA from 1 species